UCUGCCGCAGGGGGAAGGAGCUAUAAAAACAUUUAUUUGCAACGAUUUCACAUGUUUCAGUGAGAAACAGCAGAAACACACCUCUAAUUACUACUGCCUUAGGAAUCAUUGAUCUAAAUCCAAACCUUCAAGAUGAAAUCACUCCUUUUAAUUGUGUUGUGCGUGGUCUUAAUAGCCUCUACACAAGUUGUCAUGGCAGGACAUGGU